rnacentral:rRNA from 1 species
GGACCCGCACAAGUAGUGGAGCAUGUGGUUUAAUUCGAAGAUACGCGCAGAACCUUACCAACACUUGACAUGUUCGUCGCGACUCUAAGAGAUUAGAGUUUUCGGUUCGGCCGGACGAAACACAGGUGCUGCAUGGCUGUCGUCAGCUCGUGUCGUGAGAUGUUGGGUUAAGUCCCGCAACGAGCACAACCCUCACUUUUAGUUGCCAUCAUUAAGUUGGGCACUCUGAAAGAACUGCCAGUGAUAAGCUGGAGGAAGGUGGGGAUGACGUCAAGUCCUCAUGGCCCUUACGUGUUGGGCUACACACGUGCUACAAUGGUAUCUACAACAGGAAGCAAGACUGCGAAGUUAAGCAAA